rnacentral:ncRNA from 1 species
UAUAAUGCGAUGACAGGGACAAGUAAGUAUCAUUAGAUGACCUUCAGAAAGCCGGUGGUUGAUGCAAACCGGUGGUGUCGAUGUACUGAAUGGGCCCUUGAGUGCCAAGUUGAACGGGAAGAUUUAAUUUCCUUAAUAGACUGGCCGUGUUUUCCACGUUACGGAAGUUGAAGGUCGCAAAUGUUGUGCUUUGCUAUUUGCGAUAAAUAAGGGUGGCACCACGGUCUCACGUCCCUUGC